rfam:Angiostrongylus cantonensis strain Taiwan genome assembly, scaffold: ACAC_scaffold0002842
CCAACGGCCCUCUUUAGGGCCACAGUCGAUAUCGAAUGCAUGAUUU